rnacentral:lncRNA from 1 species
AAAAGGUGGAUCACCCUAAAUAGUGCUCCAAGUAGCUUUCAACCUGAGCUGAAAUGCACUGCAGCUGUUUCGUAGCUGUAUCUCAGUCCGGUUGAAGAAGGUGGUUUGGGUUGUCUUCGUGAGGGGACGUCCCCCGCUAGGCCAACCCUGGGCGGCCGGAGGCCUCCGCAGCAGUGCGGGUGCAGCGGCUGUCCGGAGGGGCGCACUUGCUGACCGCAAGGAACCAAGCCCUGGGGAGAAGUCUCAUAAAGCUGCCUAAGUAGUUGUUUAGUAACAACAGCUACGUUGUACAGUGUCUGCGUGCAGCAGCUUUCAGACUAAGGAGCUCCAAAUCUGUGAGGAAACCAGGUGAAACUUGCCCUGCUUGACAAGAAACGUUUUUUUCAAAUGUGCCUUUAAAUUGUUAGGAGAAGGAAGGACUGCUCCAAGGCUCUUCCCAAGCCUCUGAGGACCACGUUGGUACGUCUGGUAGUGUGGUCAGACCGGAGCUCUUCCCAAGGCUUCCAGGCUUCAGUCAGAUGCCUCUGACCUGCUCUUCCAGAUAAGAUUCCAGGUUUACUUUAUAUUUUGAAACAAAAUGGAAGACAUUGUUCCAGCCCUGGGAAAUCAACGGUCUGUAGAAAUGACUUUAGAAGCCCUUAAAGAGGCCAGCUUUAAAGGAUUUCAUCUACAAGCUCGAGAAGUGGAAGGAGAUGUUCCUGUUGGUACUUUUAAAAUUACAGAUCAAAACACAAAAGGCUUGGAUUGUCAUAACGUGACGAAUUCAGCUGUAAGUCAUGCAAAUUCAGAUGCGAAACAGAAAGUUACAACAACGUGGAUUGCACCACAUGAUAUUAGAGAUCUUCAGUUUAUCGCAACUGUUGUUCAAGAUCUAGAGAAAUUUUGGGUCGGAGUUCAAAGCAAAACCCUCACACCUACACAUUCUGAGUCAGUUAAUGGGACAGGAAGAAGUAAGAGGAAGGUAUGUUUUGAGUACAUUUGCAUAUUCUAAAUUAAUAUGGUAAAUUACAAAAUAUCAGACUUGAUAUAAGGCAUACGUUCAUUGUCAUAUAUUCAU